ACCGGCGAUACCCGAAUGGGGAAACCCAGUGUGACUCGUCACACUAUCAUUAACUGAAUCCAUAGGUUAAUGAGGCGAACCGGGGGAACUGAAACAUCUAAGUACCCCGAGGAAAAGAAAUCAACCGAGAUUCCCCCAGUAGCGGCGAGCGAACGGGGAGGAGCCCAGAGCCUGAAUCAGCAUGUGUGUUAGUGGAAGCGUCUGGAAAGGCGCGCGAUACAGGGUGACAGCCCCGUACACAAAAGCGCAUGUGCUGUGAGCUCGAUGAGUAGGGCGGGACACGUGGUAUCCUGUCUGAAUAUGGGGGGACCAUCCUCCAAGGCUAAAUACUCCUGACUGACCGAUAGUGAACCAGUACCGUGAGGGAAAGGCGAAAAGAACCCCGGCGAGGGGAGUGAAAAAGAACCUGAAACCGUGUACGUACAAGCAGUGGGAGCACCCUUUGGGG
rnacentral:rRNA from 1 species